rnacentral:lncRNA from 1 species
GAACCCCACUUCUGUGCCAUGCACUUUACCAGGUGCUCAGUAAACACAUUAAUAAAGCAGGCAUGGUUUAUCCCGAGACGACAUGCACUGAGAGGACGUUUCUGUUUUCCAACAGGAGCACAGUUCAGCACAGCACUGGUUCAGCAUGGGCCAAUUCCUUGCCCUGACAUUGUAGGACAUUGUGAAGCCUCCACCUGGGUCACAAUGACCCUCGGUACCUGUUAAUGUAUGCACCUUCAUCAUGAACCCGGAGUAUUAAACAACAAAUGAGGCUUCCUGCAGUCACUAAGGAUCACGAUUCUAAAUAAAUCUGAGAAGCUCAGCAAUAGAGGUCGCCCCCUCCCCCGGGCGGAGUCCUUGAUAUCUGAAACAAGGCUUCACAUCAUCUGGCAUUAAACUAUGGGGCUGCUUGAAGGCAGAAUUUGUCUUAUUCUGAUGUAGGAUGACCAAAACAUCUGGAGAAACAAAUUGGGGUGAGCCCUCUCCAAGCGUGUUAAUAAAAUACUAGUUGUCAGCAUAAGACAGACAACAAGGCAAGGUCAGUAAGGCCUGGGGCUUAAUUGAUUUGUCUUCCAGGAAAUUAAGGGAGUGAGCACAGGGACUCACACCCAGAUAUCAGGUGGAACAGUCAUUAAAAGCCUAUUAGAGGAACCGAUCCAGUCAAAAGACCUAAAAUAAGCAAAGAAAGAGGAUAUUUCUUCACCACAAGCUCUAUCUCAAUCUGCUUCUUCAUACAAACAUCCUUUUUGUUUUACUGUGCCCAAAAUAAUUAAUAUACUAGGACAACUUGAAGUGCAAAAACUCCUGUGUCUGAAGUGAGAGGCUACUGUACAGAUAAGGGAAAGUCAAGUUCUCAAACUCUAGAUUCUAGAACCUAGAAGACUGAAAGGGAUUUCUUCUCUAGGCACAAGGUUUAUUCUAGGUGAGAUGUUAGAAUCCAUAUGAUUGCCGAGUGUGGUGGCUCAUACCUGUAAUCCCAGCACUUUGGGAGGCCAAGGCAGGAGGAUUGCUUGAGCCCAGGAGUUCAAGACCAGCCUGAGCAACAUGGCAAGACCCUGUCUCUACAAAAAAAAAAAAAACAUUAAAAAAUAGCCUGGCAGGGUGGUGCAUGCCUGUGAUUCCAUCUACUCAGGAGGCUGAGGCGGGAGGAUUAUUUGAGCCCAAGAGGUAAUGGUUGCAGUGAGCCAUAAUCACAUGAUUGCACUCAGCCUGGGCAAUAGGGCAAGAUCCUGUCUCAAAAAAAAAAAAAAAUUAGAAUGUGUUUUAUAAUGUCUCAAUAUCUGGAAAUGUGUGGCAGAGAUAGAAACAUACAUAUAUCAGUGAGAUUUUUAUUUCUCAGAUUCACCCACAGCUAAACUGGGGGUCAUGUGACUCACUCUGGGAAAGCAAGUGAUGCCUAUCACUUCUGGAAUGAGGUAUUUAAAAGCUGAUGUACUUUUUUAUCUCUCUCUCUUUUCCCUUGCUACAAAGACCCAGAAGCCACUUGCUCCACAUCUGCAGUUACAAGGCAGAACAAAUUUGCCAGAACCAAGCUACAGAUGGGGAAACUGAGGCCUGGAGUAACCAGUCAUAUUGCUUCCAUGCUGGGAACUCUCCAAUGACAUAUCGCACAAUACAGAGCCAACCUCAAGUUCCCCACCAUAGACCACAAGGACUUGCAAGUUCUAACCUUGCCCAAUCUCCCUUAUACGCCCUCAGUCCAUGUGCCUCUGUGAUGAUGGAUUGGGUCCUUCUUGGCUUCCUCCAAAGGGGCAGAACUGCUCUGGAAGGUUCCUCAUGGCAUUGGCAAUGAUCUUAUUCUAUGCUGCUUAAAGAGAUUAAAUUGACUUUGCUCUUGUUACAUAAUUAAUGGUUAAGAAUAAAAUUCUGAACAUUUUCAAGGAAACUUUUAAUCCUAAAGCAGGUUUUGUAUGCCUAAGCUUUGGUAUGUUUUCCCACUCAACACUCAGAAAUAAGCAGGGAACUUUCUAAAAUAAAUAACUGUUAUUCUUUUUCCCCCAGGACUUACAUUUUAUCUAUAAAUGCAUUUGUCUUUUAGUUUAGUUUAUUUAGGUAGAAUUAAAGUAGUUUUAACUUAGUUUUCCCAAUGAAAUUAGAUUUUA